rnacentral:misc_RNA from 1 species
CCUUCUUUAAUAAUAAAAUUAGCAUUACAGAGGCUGGACAAUUGCAUUAGAACAUCAGACAUGAACCCACUAUCCCCACUUUCAAAUCUUAGGACAUCAUUUUCAUUUUCUUCAUCAAGUGGACCUUCCACUACAGAUGAUAUACAUUGAAAAAUAGCUAAUAACCUCUCCAAUGGGAAAGUUCCAGGUCCUUUCAUAAGUAAUUCCUG